rnacentral:rRNA from 1 species
UACAGAGGGGGCAAGCGUUGUUCGGAAUUACUGGGCGUAAAGGGCGCGUAGGUGGCCUUCUAAGUUGAACGUGAAAUCCCUGGGCUCAACCCAGGAACUGCGUCCAAGACUGGGAGGCUUGAAUCCGGGAGAGGGAUGCGGAAUUCCAGGUGUAGCGGUGAAAUGCGUAGAUAUCUGGAGGAACACCGGUGGCGAAGGCGGAUCUCUGGGCCAUUACUGACGCUGAGGAGCGAAAGCGUGGGGAGCGAACAGG